GCCACUCCUUCACCACCACCAACCACCGUCUCAUCACCACCGUACGAUCGAAUCAAAGCCGUGAAAGAAUUCGACGAAACAAAAUCCGGCGUAAAAGGCUUAAUCGACUCCGGAAUCAAAACCAUUCCAUCUUUCUUCAUCCAUCCACCUGAAAUCCUAUCUGACCUCACUCCACGAUCAGAUUUCCCCCAACCGGAAAUCCCCACAAUCGACCUCUCCGCCGUCCACCACUCCCGCGCCGCCGUGGUUGAACAGCUUCGUUCCGCCGCGAGUACAGUUGGAUUCUUUCAAGUGAUCAACCAUGGAGUCGCGCCGGAAUUGAUGCGAAGUGUGAUCGGUGCUAUGAAGAAGUUUCAUGAACAGCCUGCUGACGAGAGGAAGAAGGUGUACUGUAGGGAGAUGGGAACUGGUGUUUCCUAUAUAUCUAACGUUGAUCUGUUCGCUUCUAAAGCUGCCAGCUGGCGUGACACGCUUCAGGUUCGAAAAUUACCUACGAGAAAACAGUCAUUGUGAGACAUUGUUGCUUUAGUUUUUAAAUAAUUGAAUUCGUAAGCACAUUCUCGUGUCUAUUUUGUUAGUCAUUUUAUGAACUUAACCAACGAAAAAACACAUUGAGGACUAAGACCGAAAUGGCUAAGAGUAUGUUUGUUUAGAAAAUAGCGAAUAGUUGAUAAACUAGUUUACCGCGGAUGAACUGAACUUAUAACUUAUAAUAGAUAACUGAUAUUUGAUAAGUUAGCUGACUAUUCAGUAGUAAAAUUAACAGUUGAACUAACUUUAAAAUAUGAAAUGAAAUGACAUAAAAGUGACGGUUAUAAGCAAUAAGUUCAAAAUCAUGCCCUUGCCAAACAGACCCUAAUAAAAAACACUUUUAGUGACUAAUAAAUUGAAAUUUAAGAUUAGACUCACUGUUGCAUCUCACUAAAGUUAAACUAAGUGUGCAUAGUGAUAAAUGAAAGUUGAAGUAAACAUCAAAAGAUGUCCAUGAGAAAGUGAAUUUUUUUUUGAAAAUUCUGUUAAAGAAACAUUUCUACAAAAAGCAUGAAUACUUUUAAAAUUACACGUCAAAUGAUUUUUAUUUGUAAAUUAAUAAAUUCAGUUGGAACAGUAUUUUUCAAUCAUGUAUUGCAAGAAUGAGUUUAUGUUGGUAAAUUCUGUUUACUGAUUGUUGCUUACUGCCCAGUUAGUUAAUUAUUUUCCAGUUGUUAGUAGUCAAUGAUUUUUAUAGUUAAUUCUGUUUUCUGAUAGUUACUUUAAUUGCAUCUUGAAAGUUUAUCACUCUUUCAAGUUUUUAAGUUCUUCAUGUUUUUCUUCUUUUCUUCAUGCCUUCUUCUGAUACGUUGAUCAUGUGUUACUCACGCACUAAAUAGGUGAUUUUGAUUAAUUCAUUUGUGCAUAAAUAGAAGUUAGUUUUAUAUGCAAUCAUCAAUUCAGUCUUUCAUAACAGUUUCAGUGAUUAACAUAAUCAACCCAAAAAAACUAAUGUGCUCGACAAAUUCAAAUUAAGAAAUUAAUAUAAAAUUAAAAUUUUAAGAACCAAAAUGAUAUUUCAUAAUUAUUUCAAUGGAAUUUAGCAGAUUAAGAUGGGACCUGUCCCAACGGAAGAGAAGGAGAUUCCGGAGGUAUGCAGGAAGGAGGUGAUGGAGUGGGAUAAAGAAGUGGUGCGUGUGGGAGAUAUUUUGCUUGGUUUGUUGAGUGAAGGGUUAGGGUUAGGUGAAGAAAGGCUCACAGAAUUGGGUUUGUCGCAAGGGAGGGUGAUGGUUGGCCACUAUUACCCAUUUUGCCCUCAGCCUAAUCUUACUGUUGGACUCAAUUCCCAUGCAGAUCCAGGGGCAUUGACGGUAUUGUUGCAGGAUCAUAUUGGUGGCUUACAGGUUAGGACCCAACAUGGUUGGAUUAAUGUAAAGCCUCUUGAUGGAGCUUUGGUCAUCAACAUUGGAGAUUUACUUCAGGUCAAUUAUAUUUUCUCUCUUAUUUUUACUUUUUUUAUUUUGUCUUUCCUUGUCUUCUCUUUUCGAGUAAUGCUACGUAGUAGAAAACAUUUUGCGCACGAACUUCACGAAUGUUCACAUCAAUUUUACAUGGAAAGAAGAAAAUUUAUUGUGUUUUGAUGGAAAUCACAGGGGUAAUGGCCAAUGAGUGUUUUGUGAUUGUGUCGUGCCUUUUCUUUUCGUAAUGCCAAGCAUUUUACUUUCUUUUUUUAAUUUGGAUUUCUCACAUCCAUAAUUUUGUGUCUCAGAUAAUUUCAAACGAGGAGUAUAAGAGUGCUGAUCAUCGUGUAUUAGCCAAUCCUUCCAACGAGCCACAAGUCUCGAUUGCUGUUUUCCUCAACCCGGGUAAUAGGGAGAAGCUCUUUGGUCCUUUACCAGAGCUAACAUCAGCAGACAAGCCAUCUCUUUAUAGAGAUUUCACGCUCAACGAAUUCAUGACAAGGUUCUUUAAGAAAGAGCUUGAUGGUAAAUCAUUGACUAAUUUCUUCAGAAAGUGAUGUUUCUAUAAAGCAGUGGUUUCUGGUGAUAUUUCAAUGUAAUAGUAACUUUGUAUCUUGGCACUGUACUGUUCAUGCAUAUAUAAGUUAUUAGGGAAGUUCAUUGCUGAAUAAAGGUGCUGUAUAUGUAUAUUAAUAGGAGCACAUUUGUUCUUCCAUAAGUUCACAAUAUUCUUAUCAUGUUAGAAAAAGUUACUAUUAUACAUAAUACUCCCUCCGUCCCAAUUUAAUUGAGCCAUUUGCUCAUUUCACGUUUAUUAAGAAAAAUAUAUUAGUGAAGGAGAGAGAAAAAUAGUUUUGAGUGUCUUUGUUAAGUAUUGGUCCAUUCUUCUUUAUCAUAAAUGUAAAGUAGAAUAUAUUGUAUUGGAAGUAGUGAAAGUAGUAUUAAUUAAAGUUAUAAUUGAAAAAAAGUAAUUAAUAUUGUAUUGGAAAGUGAAAUGACUCAGUUAUUUUAGGACACUUUUUUAUUGAAAAUGGCUCCGGUAUUAUGGGACGGAAGGAGUAUAUAAAUUUAUCAUGUGCUCUAUGUUGACACAAUUCUGACCAAGCCGUUACAGUAAUAUGUUAAUUUUUAAUGUUGGACCUUUAUUGAAUCUCAUUUUCUGUUUGUUGAUUGUGCUGUAAUUAGUUGCAUUAUAAAAGGUUGAUAUUUGAACGGAUUCCACUUAUAUGACUCAUGACUCAUCAUGAGUGCUUCCAUGUCCCAAAUACUUCAGGAUGUUUUGGUACCAUUGAUGAAUAAAGUCCUAUGAUAUUGUGAAUCAAAAUCAAUUCCUAUCCUCUUGUAAUCGGUUCAGUUUCAAAGAAAUCUAUAUAAUUAGUUUAAUUAUUAGCAAAAAAAAAAACAACUGUUCUACAAUUUUAUUUUCUUUACAAAAAAUAGAAAACCAACAUAUGUGAUUUUAUUAAAAGGGUAUAAUAAAUUACAGCACAUACAGAUGAACGAGUUUGGGCAGUAAUUUGAACGGUCAUAAGUUUCUUAGAGUAUCCACAAUGGUAGUUUCCUAACUAGGACCCCUUAAAUGGACCCCACGUGAUACGUCACAAGUUUCUUUUGAGAUGAAAAUGGUAACUGAUUGUAAGAAAAAACCUGUCCAUAAGACAUGCAUUACCCAUUGAUUAAUUGGGGGUAAUUUACCCUAAUGACAACUAUGAUUAAAUUCUCGAACAAAAGAGAUAAAGUUUACAUGUCGAAUGAAAGUGAAACAUACGAAGAAAAUUAAUAUUAUUGAGAUAAAAAUGGUAACUCUUGGGUGUGUUUGGGUUAGAAGAGAGGUGGCAUUUAGCAUGGAAAAGGGAAAGAGUUUCCCACCAUGGGAAAGCUAAUUUUGACCAUUAGAUUAACUAAAGAACACAGUUUUAUCAUAGACCAUCAACACCAAAAAAUUUCUCUAUCCUCCAUGACUUACCCAACCACCACCAGCCGUCUUUAUUGCAAAUUCUGAACAACCAUGGCUACCAUUCCAAGAGCUUGUAUCACACAUUUCUACCACAUAUCAUCCUUUGGUAUUUCUUUAGUGGGUUAAUGUAAAUAUGGGUCGGAUAUGGAGCUGAGGUUUGACCAAAGUCUUAGGAAUGCAUUGGUGUCUUUUACUCACUAAAAUUUUGCUAUCUACAUGAUCCUGGUAAAACUAUGUCGGGAAAAGCUUGAAAUUGAUUUCAUGUCAUGAAUUACUUAAAAGAGAAAGAGUAAAUUAAAUUAGCUUUUAAGACAUCAGAUUUAGAGAUGAAAGUGAUUCCACCAUGGGGAAAGAUUUAAAGAUGUGAAAAUUGACUUAAAGAUUUAGAGCGAGAGUAAAUGUGGAAGAAGGUAUAAUGGGGUGGUGGGUGCAAGGAGGAAGAUGAGAUGUAGAGGGUGGAUGGUUGGAUUUGGUGUUGAUGGUCUAUGAUAAAGUUGUGUUCUCUAGUUAAUCUGAUGGUCAAAAUUAGUUUUCCCAUGGUAGAAAACUCUUUCCCUUUUCCAUGCUAAAUGCCACCUAGAAGAGAAGUUGUGAAGAGAGAAAUAUGUAAGAGAGAAUAUGAGAAGAGAAAUAUGUGAGAAAUAUCCUUCAAAAAAAAUAUGUACGUUAGCUGAGCUACCCUACUCUCCUUUUGUCCAUUCUACUCUACACAAUCAAAAUCAAUCCACGUCACGUUGUCGAGUGUAGAAUUCUGCUACUCAAACUCAACUCAAUUACUCAACUGCUUUUUUCUUUCUAUAACUCUAAAAACUUCCACACACACAAGCAUUCCCUUCAUUCAUUCAUUCAACUCCCAACAAUGUCAUCAUCACCGAUCGCCACCCACUCACCACCACCAACAUACGACCGUGCGAAAGAUGUGAAAGAAUUCGAUGAAACAAAAUCCGACGUAAAAGGCUUAAUCGACUUCGGAAUCAAAACCAUUCCAUCUUUCUUUAUUCACCCACCCGAAACUCUAUCCGAUCUCACUCCACGAUCAGAUUUCCCCCAACCAGAAAUUCCCACAAUCGACCUCUCCGCCAUAAACAUUCCCGUGUCGCCGUGGUUGAUCAGCUUCGUUCCACUGCAAGUACGGUGGGAUUCUUUCAGGUGAUCAACCAUGGUGUAGCGCCAGAUUUGAUGCGAAACGUUAUUGGUGCUAUGAAGAAGUUUCAUGAACAGCCUGCGGAGGAGAGGAAGAAGGUGUACCGUAGGGAGAUGAGAACUGGUGUUUCGUAUAUGUCAAAUGUUGAUCUUUUCGCUUCUAAAGCUCCCAGCUGGCGUGACACACUCCAGGUUCGAAAAUUAUUUAUGAGAACAGUCACUUUGAUCUCUAAAUAUGUGAGAUGUUGUUGUUGUAGUUUUUAAAUAUAUUAAAACCGGAAGCACAUUCUCGUGUCUAUUUUGUUAGUAAUUUUAUGAACUUAACCAACGAAAAAAUAUAUUGAGGACUAAGACCGAAAUGACUAAGAGUAUGUUUGUUUAAAAAAUAGCGAAUAGUUGAUAUCUGAUAAGUUAGCUGAUUGAGGUUUGUAAUAUUCAGUAAAAUUAACAGUUGAACUAACUUUAAAAUAUGAAAUGAAAUGACAUAAAAAUGACGGUUAAUUACCAAACACAUCUAAUUUGAUCAAAUGAACUUACAAGACAUGUUAUAAGUUAUAAGUUCAAAAUCAUGCCUCGCCAAACAGACCCUAAUAAAAAGCACUUUUAGUGACUCAUAAAUUAAAAUUUAAGAUUAGACUGACUAAAGUGAAACUAAGCGUGCACAGUGCAUUAAAUGAAAGUUGAAGUAAACUUCAAAAGAUGUCCAUGAGAAAGUGAAAAAUGUUUGAAAAUUCUGUUAAAUAAACAUUUCUACAAAAAGCCUGAAUACUUUUAAAAUUACACGUCAAAUGAUUUUUAUUUGUAUAUUAAAAAAAUCAGUUGAAACAGUAUUUUUCAAUCAUGUAUUGCAAGAAUGAGCUUAUGUUGGUAAAUUAUGUUUACUGAUUGUUGCUUACUGCUCAGUUAGUUAAUUAUUUUUUGGUCGUUAGUAGUCAAUGAUUUUUUUUGUGAAUUAUGUUUGUUGAUAGUUACUUUAAUUGCAUCUUGAAAGUUUAUCACUCUUCGAAAGUUCUUUAAGCUUUUAUGUUUUUCUUCUUUUCUUGAUGCCUUUCUUCUGAUAUGUUUGAUAUGUGUUAUCACAAAGUAAAUAUGUGAUUUUGACUCGGCUUAAAUAAGUAAAAGGUCUCUGUAAAUUGGCGCGUUUUUUGUUUUAGUCCCUGCAAAUUUUUUUCUUGCGAAACAACCCUUAUAAUUACCAUACGUUUUGGAACUCAUCCCUUCCGUCAGGUUCCGUGAAAAAAAUGCUUUGCUGGCUAACAGACGCCUACGUGGCACAUGCUGAUAUGGCAACUGAUGUCAACUGGGUUAAGUAGAGGGACUAAAACCAAAAACGUAUUUUUACACAGGGAUGUAAUUAAAAAAAUGUAAACAUCAAUUUUUGAAUUUUAAAAACCACUCUUUCCUUCUUCUUCCUCUCUCUGAUCUUUCAUUCUUCUUUUUCUUCAAUCCAUCCAUGUCCAAAUUUCAAUUGCAUGCGCCCUAAAACCCAUUUUCUUCAACAGUGUGUUCUCAUUCCAUAGGCAACUCAUUUGAUAACUAUUCUACACCUUCUCCACCACCUUCACCUUAUAAUUACUACACCAAUUACUCUGAUAACUAUUUUAGUGGCAAUUACUUUCCCGGUUAUUAUCCCGGUGGUGCUUACCCACCACCACCGUCGCCACACCAUUUCUUUGAAUGUAUUGAAAGUUAUGCUGCUGUUGGGCCUAGUGGACCGUCUGCGCCGCUUGAAUAUUCAUUCUCGUUUGAUCCAGGGCCAAAAGGAGGUAAAAUGGGCUUAGGAGCUGGACUAGCUGUUGGUGUUGCUGCUGGGGCGCUGGGUCGACUUGCUCUGGAAGAAGGGGUGAGGUAUGAAGAGCGUGGUCUUGCGGAUAUGGUUGAGAGUGAUCUUACUUCUGCGAGAGAUGAUUAUGGAGAUAUGCAUUACCAAGAUUAUUGAGUUCUUUGUAGUUGGUGUUUGAUAAGGUUUGGAGUUUCAAGGAGUGUUGUUUUGGCACAUACAAAAAGAUGUGUGUGUGUGUGUGAUUGAAUGCAUAUGUGUUGCUUUAUUUGAUGCUAGAUGAUAAAGAAUGAAGUAAGAAAGCAAAUGAUUAUCAUGUGAUGUGAUGAUUUGGAAUUGUUCAACCAGUUAUAUUAUGAAAAUUAACGUUGGUUUUCUAUUUUAGUGUGGUUAGUGUAUUCUGUGUUUUGUUCAUGAUUUCUCAUAGAUCUUUGUAUAAUGGCAAAUUAGUUUGCAGCAUAAGUCUGUUCAUGAUCUUCCUCAUUGUUGUGUGAUGUUUCCCUUUUAGUGUUAUAUUUAUGCCUAAUUUAUCUGAUGAGGAAUGCUAACAACACUCUCUUUUGAGCACUCUUUCUAGCACUCACUCUUUUAUUGGGUGAAAUCAAUGUAUGUCCCACCACUUUAUGUGGGUUCCAUUUCCAAAGUGUAGGUCCUACAUUGAAUUCACCAAUAAAAGAGUGAGUGCUAGAGAGAGUGCUCAAAAGAGAGUGUUGCUAGCAUUCCUCUUUAUCUGAUAUGAGUACAAGGCUAUGUUACCUUUUCAUAAAUUAACCUAGUGAAAGUGAACCCAUAUGGCAUUGUUUUCCUUUCAAAGGUGUGGCAUGUUGAAGAAUUUAAGGUUCUUUCGAUGAUUGUUUGUUAAUCAUUUCAACUGUCCACAAGUUUAUUGAGAACUUAGUUGUGGUGCUUAUAUCGUUGCUUUAUUUAUCAAAUAUUUGAUCAGCUGGGGUGUGUAGUGACUUUUUAGCAUUGAUAAUUUGAAUUUGGCUUAAAUAAGGAAAAGGGCCCUGUAAGUUGGUGCAUUUUAGGGUUUUAGGGAAUUGAUGAGUUGCCUAAUAUGAUGAUUGAGAAAUGGAAUGAGAAGACAUGGUUGAAGGAAAAGGGUUUUAGGGCGCAUGCAAUUGAAAGUUGGAUAUGGAAGGAUUGAAGAAGAAGAAGAAGAAUGAAAGAUCAAAGAGAUGAAGAAGAAGGAAAGAGUUUUUUAAAAAUAAAAAAAUAAAAAUUAAAGUUUUUUUAAUUACAUCCCUGUGUAAAAAUUCUUUUUUGGUUUUAGUCCUUCUACUUAACCCAGUUGGCACCAGUUGCCAUACCAUCAUGUGCCACGUAGGCGUCCGUUAGUCAGCAAACCAUUUUUUUCACGGAACCUGACGGCAGGGACGAGUUCCAAAAUGUUUGGUAAUUACAAGGGCUGUUUCGCAAGAAAAAAACUUACAGGGACUAAAACGAAAAACGCGCCAACUUACAGGGACCUUUUACUUAUUUAAGCCUUUUGAUUCAUUCAUUUUUGCAUAAAUAGAAGUUAGUUUUAUAGACAACCAUCAAUUUAGUUUCUAAAAUUGCACGAACAAACAAAUUGUUUGAAAUUAAAAAUCCUCAAUUUGAUCACUCUUUCAUAACAAUUUCAGUGAUUAACAUGAUCAACCCAAUGGGACUAAUGUGAAUUAUUGAUCUUCUACAAUUUUCAGAAUCAAAUUGGUAUUUGAUCAUUAUUUCAAUGGAAUUUUGCAAAUUAAGAUGGGACCCGUCCCAGCGAAAGCGAAGGAGAUUCCUGAGGUAUGCACGAAGGAGGUGAUGGAGUGGGAUAAAGAAGUGGUGCGUGUGGGAGAUAUUUUGCUGGGCUUGUUGAGUGAAGGGUUAGGAUUAGGGGAAGAAAGGCUCACGGAAUUGGGUUUGUUGAGAGGGAGGGUGAUGGUUGGCCACUAUUACCCAUUUUGCCCUCAGCCUAAUCUUACUGUUGGACUCAAUUCCCAUGCAGAUCCAGGGGCACUGACAUUAUUGUUGCAGGAUCAUAUUGGUGGCUUACAAGUUAGGACCCAACAUGGUUGGAUUAAUGUCGAGCCUCUUGGUGGAGCUUUGGUCAUCAACAUUGGAGAUUUACUUCAGAUCAAUUAUAUUUUCUUUCUCUUAUGUUUACUUUUUUUAUUUUGUCUUUCCUUGUCUUUUCUUUUCGAGUAACGCUACGUAGUACAAAACAUUUUGCGCACGAACUUCACGAAUGUUCACAUCAAUUUUACAAGGAAAGAAGAAAAUUUGUUGUGUAUUGAUGGAAAUCAUAGGGGUAAUGGUCAAUGAGUGUCUUGUGGUUGUGUCGUGCCUUUUCUUUUCGUAAUGCCAAGCAUUUUACUUUCUUUUUUUAAUUUGGAUUUCUCACAUCCAUAAUUUUGUGUCUCAGAUAAUUUCAAACGAAGAGUAUAAGAGUGCUGAUCAUCGUGUAUUAGCCAAUCCUUCCAACGAGCCACAAGUCUCGAUUGCUGUUUUCCUCAACCCGGGUAAUAGGGAGAAGCUCUUUGGUCCUUUACCAUAGCUAACGUCAGCAGAGAAGCCAUCUCUUUAUAGAGAUUUCACGCUCAACGAAUUCAUGACAAGGUUUUUGAAAAAAGAGCUUGAUGGUAAAUCAUUGACUAAUAUCUUCAGAAAGUGAUGUUUCUAUAAAGCAGUGGUUUCUGGUGAUAUAUCAAUGUAAUAUUAACUUUGUAUCAUGGCAACUGUAUUGUUUAUGGAUAUAUAAGUUAUUAAAGAAAAAACUCAAUUCAGAUUCUAAAAUCCGAAAAAUCACAUGAGCAUUUUUGUAAAAAUUAUAGGGCGUGUGAGAAGUUGAUAGGGUUGAAAAAGUAAAACCUUCAAAAUUAUUGGGCAGGACACUUCAAUUAGAGUUCAAACUUUAGCCACUCCAUUCAUGUGUGAAUUUUAAUGAUUAUUUAUCAUUUUUUUCAUCUAAAAAAACACAGCCUUGUCAAAAAAAUCUAAAAAAACACAGUUAGUCAAUAUUUUUGAUUAACAUUAACAAAUACCAAUUAUUGGGCAUGACACUUCGAUCAGAGUUCAAACUUUAGUCACUCCAUUCAUGUGUGAAUUUUUAUGAUUAUUUAUCAUUUUUUCAUCUAAAAAAACACAGCCUUGUCAAAAAAAAAUCUAAAAAAACACAGUUAAUCAAUAUUUUUGAUUAACAUUAACAAAUACCAAAAUGUUACUCAUCUGUUUUAAAAUAAAUAUCACUUUAACAAUAACAAUUUGUUUCUAAAUGAAUGUUACUUACAUAUUUAUUUUAAUGUAAGAUCAUUAUUUUACUUUUAGUUUUUUGAAGGAUAUUUUACUUCUAAUUAUAUGCUCUAACUAAUGAAAUAUAUACUGCUUCCUAAACAUUACAUUCAUAAAUAAAACUAUUUCAAUAAAAUUGUCAUGUCAUUCAACAUCAUUAUAUUUUUUAAUCUGUGUAAAAUGUUAAACACACUCGUUUUAAAAUUUAACUCCAGUAAACUCUUUGCAUGUUAACUUAUAUGUCGUGUCAUACCUCAACAAGUAUUUACUGAUAUAAAAAAAACUCUUGAAUGUUUACUCAAAAUUAGAAUUAAAAACAGUUUAAUCUUAUCAUGUUAGCUAAUAUAUCCUAAUCUCAUUUGACUAUUCUAAAAAUCUCUACUUUGUAAAAUCAAAAUCAAUCAAUUUCACAUUGUUGAGUACACAACUUUUACUACUCAAAAUCAAACUCAACUACUUAUUUUCUUCCUUCAAAAUCAAAACCCAAACCCACACACACACAAACAUUCCCUUCCCAUCAUUCAUUCAAUUCCUAACAAUGUCAUCAUCACCAAUUGCCACCCCUUCUCUACCACCAACCACCGUCUCAUCACCACCCUACGACCGUGUGAAAGCCUUGAAAGAAUUCGACGAAACAAAAUCCGGCGUAAAAGGCAUAAUCGACUCCGGAAUCAAAACCAUUCCAUCUUUCUUCAUCCAUCCACCUGAAACCCUAUCUGACCUCACUCCACGAUCAGAUUUCCCCCAACCGAAAAUCCCCACAAUCGACCUCUCCGCCGUCCACCACUCCCGCGCCGCUGUGGUUGAACAACUUCGUUCCGCCGCGAGUACAGUUGGAUUCUUUCAAGUGAUCAACCAUGGAGUCGCGCCGGAAUUGAUGCGAAGUGUGAUCGGUGCUAUGAAGAAGUUUC
rnacentral:lncRNA from 1 species